rnacentral:tRNA from 1 species
AAACUGUAGUUUAUAAAAAAUUUAUGAGUUGCAUUCAUAAGAAGCUUUUUAGCCUGUUUUA